UACGGAGGGGGCAAGCGUUGUUCGGAAUCAUUGGGCGUAAAGAGUAUGUAGGCGGCUAUUUAAGUCAGACGUGUAAGCCCACGGCUCAACCGUGGAAUUGCGUUUGAAACUAUUUAGCUUGAGUACAGGAGAGGAAGGCGGAAUUCCCAGUGUAGCGGUGAAAUGCACUGAUAUUGGGAAGAACACCGGUGGCGAAGGCGGCCUUCUGGUCUGAUACUGACGCUGAGAUACGAAAGCCAGGGGAGCGAACGGG
rnacentral:rRNA from 1 species